GACGAAGGGGGCUAGCGUUGUUCGGAAUUACUGGGCGUAAAGCGAGUGUAGGCGGUUGUCAUAGUCAGGUGUGAAAGCCUUGAGCUCAACUCAAGAAUUGCACUUGAUACUGGGCGACUAGAGGACCGGAGAGGAUAGUGGAAUUCCCAGUGUAGUGGUGAAAUACGUAGAGAUUGGGAAGAACACCAGUGGCGAAGGCGGCUAUCUGGACGGUUACUGACGCUAAGACUCGAAAGCGUGGGGAGCAAACAGG
rnacentral:rRNA from 1 species